CAGUCGCCGCGGUAAUACGAAGGGGGCUAGCGUUGUUCGGAUUUACUGGGCGUAAAGCGCACGUAGGCGGAUCGAUCAGUCAGGGGUGAAAUCCCAGAGCUCAACUCUGGAACUGCCUUUGAUACUGUCGAUCUGGAGUAUGGAAGAGGUGAGUGGAAUUCCGAGUGUAGAGGUGAAAUUCGUAGAUAUUCGGAGGAACACCAGUGGCGAAGGCGGCUCACUGGUCCAUUACUGACGCUGAGGUGCGAAAGCGUGGGGAGCAAGCAGGAUUAGAUACCCCUGUAGUCCCUGUCUCUUAUAC
rnacentral:rRNA from 1 species